AGGGGCGUAGCUCAGCGGUAGAGCACCCGGCUCAUAACCGGUCAGGCCCUGGUUCAAAUCCAGGCGCCCCUA
rnacentral:tRNA from 1 species